rnacentral:rRNA from 1 species
CAGUCGCCACGGUAAUACGGAAGGUCCAGGCGUUAUCCGGAUUUAUUGGGUUUAAAGGGAGCGUAGGCUGUUGGUUAAGCGUGUUGUGAAAUGUAGAUGCUCAACAUCUGAAUUGCAGCGCGAACUGUCCGACUUGAGUGCGCGGAAAGCAGACGGAAUUCGUUGUGUAGCGGUGAAAUGCUUAGAUAUGACGAAGAACUCCGAUUGCGAAGGCAGCUUGCUGUAGCGUAACUGACGCUGAAGCUCGAAAGUGCGGGUAUCGAACAGGAUUAGAUACCCGUGUAGUCCCUGUCUCUUAUAC